rnacentral:rRNA from 1 species
GAUGAACGCUGGCGGCGUGCCUCAAACAUGCAAGUCGAGCGGGGCUAUGUAAUAUCGCAAGGUAGAACAUAGCCUAGCGGCGAACGGGUGAGUAACACGUGGGUAACCUGCCUGGAAGACAGGGAUAACGAUUCGAAAGGGUCGCUAAUACCUGAUAAUAUCCUUUCAUCGCAUGGUGAUAGGAAGAAAGGGGAAACCCGCUUUCAGAUGGGCCCGCGUCCCAUCAGCUAGUUGGUAAGGUAAAGGCUUACCAAGGCGACGACGGGUAGCCGGUCUGAGAGGAUGUACGGCCACACUGGGACUGAGAUACGGCCCAGACUCCUACGGGAGGCAGCAGUUGGGAAUCUUAGGCAAUGGACGAAAGUCUGACCUAGCGACGCCGCGUGAGGGAAGAAGGCCUUCGGGUUGUAAACCUCUGUCAUGGGGAAGAAGUAAGUGACGGUACCCAAGAGGAAGCCCCUGCUAACUACGUGCCAGCAGCCGCGGUAAGGAGUAGUACA